rnacentral:lncRNA from 1 species
AUGCCAAAGUUUAUGGAAGAGUCAAUGAAGACUAAAAUUAUUUCCAUAAGCCCUCUAAUGAAAUGUCUUGAGAAUCUCCCUUUUUUCUUUCUUCCUUUAUUUUAUGCUCUUGCAGCUCAUUCAGUUUCAACUGUCCUCGCCUUUGGCCCCAUCCUGUGGUCGUUCGUUCGUGUGCACUGGCUAUGCUCUUCUGUGAGAACAUUCAAGAUUGAGCCCUCAAAAUUGCAGAAUGUGGAAACAGAUGUGGCAGAAAUGAUCCCAAAUGUUUGAAGGAGUUGGAUUAUAUUGGAGCAGUGUUUGACUAAGGAAAGGAGAAAACGCAAUUGACAUUAAUUGACAUCGUCCUCGCUAUGAAAAUAAUUAGCUCAUCUAUUUACCAAAAAUCAAAAAAGAAAUACUUCGUAAAUCCCCUAUCUUUGUCAAGGACAUUCAAUUUUAUUAUUGCAAACAUUCUUUAAAAAUGAAUGUUUUCUUGAAAAAUGAAGAAACAAGCAUUAUAAAACUUGGCAAUUUCACCAGUAGUUAAAGCUAUAGCAAUCAAAACUUGGAUAUAAACUAAAGUUUUACUCAGAAAUUCUUUAACAAAAUAAUCUGUCUUAAACUUGACCGGAAGGAGGGAGAGGGUAUAUAUCUUUAUAGAGCAAAUAUACUAGCAAAUCACUUUCAAUGUAAAAAAAUGAAUAUACCAAUUAUAAAUUUUAAAAAAUCUAGUAAUUAAAAGGCCACGGCUGGAUUUCUAUAAGUCUCAAACUUAACCCUCUACACACUUGAAAGCAAUAGUAUUAAAUUUCUCAAUUGUAUUUUAAACUUCUGCUACUUGCUUCCAAUAUUUAUUUGAAAAAGUGAUCUUUCAGUGUACUUCUGCUGUUUAUAAUCAUCCAAAAACAUUUAUGAACAUUUAUCACAUGCUAAAUACUAUAUGCUAUAUGCUUGCAGCACUUAAGGAGAUUUACUUUCUGCUGGGAGGCAGUGAACGAAAAAUUUCAAAUCAAGAUUAAUCGAAGCUCAAAAAAAAUAUUUCUUGAUUUAUAAAGUAUCACUUUUCUACUCUCCUAGUAAUUAGUUCCUACUCUCUUUAAAUCAUGUAAUCUCUUUACUUGAAGUUUUAUCAUGUAAUAAUUUUGGAACACUUAUAGUCAAGAUGGCAGGCUGAGCUGAUGUUGGAAAACACACUCCUUUAUUACAUAUGCAUGGAAUUACAGAAAAACUAUUAACAUUUCAUAGCUGUUGUAAAAUUACAUAACUGAGUUUCAAAAGAAGAAAGUUAAAUCUCCAGAUGCCGGAAACUAAGCAGGAACAAGCAAUAGCAGGUAGGCCUUCGAGAUGUGUGGCCCCCAAGGGUAAAUACUUUUGAGCCUGGAGCUUUCAUGACAACGCAACAGCAGGGUUCAAGAUUGCAGACCAUGUACAGGAGAGGCUGGUCAUCAGCUUUUUGCAUAAAAACCAGGAGCUGCAAAUAUGCAGUCCCAUUGGAAACACUCUUUCUUCAUACCCUAGAAAUGGGUGUGGAUCAUAGUCACUUAUCCUGGACUGUGUGUGGAAAUACUGUCAAGAAGCCUUAAACUUUUAUGAUCCUUGUGGAAACUCUGAGCCCAAAAACUAAUCGAAAUCCACUCUGAAACCAGUGAAUACUGUAUCUUUCAACAGAAGCAACAAAACAAUUGUCCCCAGGAAAAUUGCUUCUUAAUAAAAGGUACAUGUAGUAUCCUUACA